UUAAUUUUUUCUUUUGUUUUUUCAAAGUUAAUGAAACAGGUUUAAGCAAAUGAUAAGUUUUCUGAUUUUUGAAUUUGAUACAAUAGUUUGGGUUUACAAUAUAUAUAUAUAUAUAUAUAUAUAUAUAUAUAUAUAUAUACAAGGGUUUUGUGAAUUGAUGAAUUGACAUAUGAAUUGGUUUUGCUGAUUAUGAAUUUACUUUAUUGUUGAUGGUUGUUGCUGUGAUGAAUACCAUGCUUCUUCUAACCACCGGUUCUGUUCUUGUCGAGGCUUCGCCUCAUGAUUUCUUUUGGGGUGGAGGUCGAGAUGGAAAAGGCUUAAACUAUCUUGGUCGCUUAUUGAUGAAGCUAAGAUCAGAGUUUCUUGGCGAGUCGUCAUCAUCGUGCGAACAAUUGAAGUUUUUAACACUUGUCUAAUCAAUGAGCAUGAUCAAAUUGAUCCAUUUUGAGGGUUUGGGUGAGUGCUGAUUGGACAUUACUGCAACUUUAGUUAGAAUCUAUGUAGUUAUUUUGUUGACAUCCUAGUUGAUAAUGAACUUGUCCAAGAAAGUAUCCCAAACGACGAUGUCAGCUCCUUGAUGAUAUAACCCCUGAUUUCAAGGUCGUGGGAGAAGAGUCCCAAGGUCUUAAUGACCUUUCUUUAGCAGGCUUAUCCAUACAUGAUGAGAUUGAAGGCUUGAUGUUUCAUUCUUCUAAAGAAAGUAGAUAUAUAUUCAAUGAGCAGGAAGAAUUAUCUCAGCAGCACAUUAAUGGCAAUAACUUUACUGAUAGACCAAGGUUUUUCAAUUCUAGCUUUCGGGAGGAUCCAUCUUCAGGAAGCACUUUGAACACCUCAGCGAAUUCUUGGGAUAGGCCAAUUAGGAGUGCCAACAAGCUUGUUAGCAGUGGUCAAGAGGGGUUUACUUAUGAUGAUAACUCAGGACAUGGAUUCUUAAAUGACAUCUUUGCUGAGAAUGCAAUCGUGGAUGAUACUAAUUUGAACCCUUUGGAGUUCUGAACUUGUUGGGACACCUGAUGGACUCAAGUCUGCUCUUUCAGAAUCGGUUGUUAUUAAUGUUAUUGUUGAUCUUUAUGCCGGUUCAGAGAAUGGGGGUUGUUAUUAAUGUUAUUGUUGAUCUUUAUGCCGGUUCAGAGAAUGGGAGGCUGCAACACAAGAAUUGAUUUCCAGAUUUUAUGUAUUAUACUAAAAUUAUGCUUUCUAUGGUUUUCAUUUUUAGAUUUCAAAUUACAUAGCCUUGUGGUUUUCUAUAGUAUACCAUGAUAUGAUAAAGACACAAACUAUAUUUCAUGAAUCUACAUAAAUGUAAAAUGUUACAUGAUCAUAAUAAA